rnacentral:rRNA from 1 species
GAUGAACGCUAGCUACAGGCUUAACACAUGCAAGUCGAGGGGCAGCGGGAUUGAAGUUUGCUUCUAUUGCCGGCGACCGGCGCACGGGUGAGUAACGCGUAUCCAACCUUCCGUACACUCAGGGAUAGCCUUUCGAAAGAAAGAUUAAUACCUGAUGGUAUGAUGAGAUUGCAUGAUAUCAUCAUUAAAUAUUUAUCUGUGUACGAGCGGGAUGCGUUCCAUUAGGUAGUAGGCGGGGUAACGGCCCACCUAGCCUACGCUGGAUAUGGGAUCUGAGAGGGAGGUACCCCACAUUGGAACUGAGACACAGACCAAAAUGCUACGCGACGCAGGAGUGAGGAAUAUAAGUCGAUGGACGAGAGUCUGACCCAGCCAAGUAGCGUGAAGGAGGAAGGUCCUACGGAUUGUAAACUUCUUUUAUAAGGGAAUAAACCCUCCAACGAGUGGGAGCUUGUAUGUACCUUAUGAAUAAGCAUCGGCUAACUCCGUG